rnacentral:rRNA from 1 species
UACAGAGGGGGCAAGCGUUAUUCGGAAUUAUUGGGCGUAAAGGGCGCGUAGGCGGCUUGGCAAGUGGAAGGUGAAAUCCCUCGGCUUAACCGAGGAACUGCCCUCCAAACUGCUUCGCUUGAGACCGGGAGAGGUGAGUGGAAUUCCCAGUGUAGCGGUGAAAUGCGUAGAUAUCAAGAGGAACACCUGAGGUGAAGACGGGUUGCUGGGCUGACACUGACGCUGAGGCGCGAAAGCUAGGGUAGCAAACGGG